GACGAACGCUGGCGGCGUGCUUAACACAUGCAAGUCGAACGGAAAGGCCCUGCUCUUGUGGGGUGCUCGAGUGGCGAACGGGUGAGUAACACGUGAGUAACCUGCCCUUGACUUUGGGAUAACUUCAGGAAACCGGGGCUAAUACCGGAUAGGAGCUCCUGCUGCAUGGUGGGGGUUGGAACGUUUCGGCGGUUGGGGAUGGACUCGCGGCUUAUCAGCUUGUUGGUGGGGUAGUGGCUUACCAAGGCUUUGACGGGUAGCCGGCCUGAGAGGGUGACCGGCCACAUUGGGACUGAGAGACGGCCCAGACUCCUACGGGAGGCAGCAGUGGGGAAUAUUGCACAAUGGGCGGAAGCCUGAUGCAGCAACGCCGCGUGCGGGAUGACGGCCUUCGGGUUGUAAACCGCGUUCGCCUGUGACGAAGCGUGAGUGACGGUAAUGGGUAAAGAAGCACCGGCUAACUACGUG
rnacentral:rRNA from 1 species